ACAUCGUCUCUGAACAGGAGCGACCCAGAAGCAGAUAUCCGCAGCACUUUGGACUGGACUGUGAGUCUGAGCUCCGAUGCCUUCUGCUGUGUUCUUCCAUUAUGUCAGUGUGUUCAGAAGAUGAGACAGAGACUAUCUGUCAGUCGAAGGAAGUGUGCUGCCUGUAAGAUAGUGGCCCACACCAUCUGUAUUGAGCAACUGGAUAAGAUUAACUUCAGGUGUAAACCGUCCUUCAGAGAAUCCGGCUCAAGGAACAUCCGAGAGUCUAUUGUAGUGCGUCAUCACUGGGUGCAUCGGAGACGGCAGGAAGGCAAAUGUAAACAAUGUGGGAAGGGCUUCCAGCAGAAGUUUGCAUUCCACAGCAAGGAGAUUGUGGCCAUCAGCUGCUCUUGGUGCAAACAGGCUUACCACAACAAGGUGUCUUGCUUCAUGCUUCAGCAAAUCGAGGAGGCUUGUCCAAUAGGAGCCCACGCUGCUCUUAUAGUUCCACCCACAUGGAUCAUUCGAGUCCGGCGCCAUCAGUCAUCUAUUAAGGCGAGUAAGAAGAAGAAGAGAGCAUCGUUCAAGAGGAAAUGCAGCAAGAAGGGAGCCGAGGAAGGACGGCAGUGGAGGCCCUUUUUAAUCCGCCCCAUCCCUGCACCACUGAUGAAGCCACUGCUGGUGUUUGUUAAUCCCAAGAGCGGAGGAAACCAGGGUGCUAAGAUCCUGCAGUCCUUCAUGUGGUAUCUGAACCCCAGACAGGUAUUUGACCUGAGCCAUGGCGGACCAAAGGAAGGCCUGGAGCUGUAUCGUAAAGUUCAUAACCUGAGGAUCAUGGCCUGUGGAGGAGAUGGCACAGUGGGCUGGAUCCUGUCUUGUCUUGAUGAACUGGCCUUGAAUCCUCAACCUCCCGUUGCCGUGUUACCACUUGGGACAGGAAAUGACCUCGCCAGGACCCUCAACUGGGGGGGGGGGUACACAGACGAGCCCCUGUCAAAGAUCCUCUCCCAUGUUGAAGACGGAGCGGUGGUCCAGCUGGACAGAUGGAAUCUACAUGUGGAACCAAACCACAGUGCAGAGGCUGAGCCGGACGAGCACCAGGCUGAUAAGCUUCCUCUAGAUAUUUUCAACAAUUACUUCAGCCUUGGAUUUGAUGCCCAUGUGACUCUAGAGUUCCAUGAGUCAAGAGAAGCCAACCCAGAGAAGUUUAACAGUCGUUUUAGGAAUAAGAUGUUCUAUGCUGGGACAGCAUUCUCAGAUUUUCUGAUGCGAAGCUCCAAAGACCUGUCAAAGCACAUCAAUGUGGUGUGUGACGGGACCGAUCUAACGUCAAAGGUCCAGGACUUGAAGCUGCAGUGUUUGGUCUUCCUCAACAUUCCCAGAUACUGUGCAGGGACGACGCCUUGGGGAAACCCCGGUGAGCAUCACGACUUUGAACCUCAACGUCAUGAUGAUGGAUACAUCGAGGUCAUCGGAUUCACUAUGACGUCACUGGCUACUCUCCAGGUCGGGGGUCAUGGCGAGAGGUUGAACCAGUGCAGGGAAGUCAUCCUCACCACCACAAAACCUCUUCCAGUACAGGUGGACGGUGAACCGUGCAGACUGGCUCCCUCUGUCAUCCGCAUCAGCCUCAGAAACCAGGCGAACAUGGUGCAGAAAACCAAACGGCAGACCUCUCUGCCACACCUCAACGAUCAGCAGCCAGUUCCGGAGAGGCUGAGGAUCCGAGUCAGCAGGAUCAGUAUGACGGACUACGAGGCUUUGCACUAUGACAAGGACAAACUAAGACAAGCAUCCAUUCCUCUGGGGCUCAUCGUGGUUUCUGGUGACAGCGACUUAGAAACCUGCAGAGAACACAUCCAGCGCCUCCAGGAGGUAAGGAGGAGAGAGGAGGGGGGGGAGUUCACCUUGGGACUGCAGGUUGGUAGUUGGAUGCUGGAGUUUGUAGUGUGUUUUUUGUUUGGCUCAGAGGCACACGGGAAACUAACCGCUUCAACAUUUUACCGCAAAAUCUUACCACAACCCUUUCUGAAAUAUAUUACACGCACAGGAAACAUUUAA
ensembl:lncRNA